AAUAUAAUGGCAGAAAUUGCACUAGACUGUAAAUCUAUUUAUGGUUAUUACCUUAUAUUA
rnacentral:tRNA from 1 species